UACGUAGGGCGCAAGCGUUGUCCGGAAUUAUCGGUGGCGUAAAAGAGCUCGUAGGCGGUUUGUCGCGUCUGCUGUGAAAACCCGAGGCUCAACCUCGGGCCUGCAGUGGGUACGGGCAGACUAGAGUGCGGUAGGGGAGAUUGGAAUUCCUGGUGUAGCGGUGGAAUGCGCAGAUAUCAGGAGGAACACCAAUGGCGAAGGCAGAUCUCUGGGCCGUAACUGACGCUGAGGAGCGAAAGCAUGGGGAGCGAACAGG
rnacentral:rRNA from 1 species